AUGCAGUCGAACGGCAGCACAGAGGAGCUUGCUCCUUGGGUGGCGAGUGGCGGACGGGUGAGGAAUACAUCGGAAUCUACUCUGUCGUGGGGGAUAACGUAGGGAAACUUACGCUAAUACCGCAUACGACCUACGGGUGAAAGCAGGGGAUCUUCGGACCUUGCGCGAUUGAAUGAGCCGAUGUCGGAUUAGCUAGUUGGCGGGGUAAAGGCCCACCAAGGCGACGAUCCGUAGCUGGUCUGAGAGGAUGAUCAGCCACACUGGAACUGAGACACGGUCCAGACUCCUACGGGAGGCAGCAGUGGGGAAUAUUGGACAAUGGGCGCAAGCCUGAUCCAGCCAUACCGCGUGGGUGAAGAAGGCCUUCGGGUUGUAAAGCCCUUUUGUUGGGAAAGAAAUCCAGCUGGCUAAUACCCGGUUGGGAUGACGGUACCCAAAGAAUAAGCACCGGCUAACUUCGUGCCAGCAGCGGCGGUAAUACGAAGGGUGCAAGCGUUACUCGGAAUUACUGGGCGUAAAGCGUGCGUAGGUGGUCGUUUAAGUCCGUUGUGAAAGCCCUGGGCUCAACCUGGGAACUGCAGUGGAUACUGGGCGACUAGAGUGUGGUAGAGGGUAGCGGA
rnacentral:rRNA from 1 species